AGAUUGAACGCUGGCGGCAUGCCUUACACAUGCAAGUCGAACGGCAGCACGGGAGCAAUCCUGGUGGCGAGUGGCGAACGGGUGAGUAAUACAUCGGAACGUGCCCAAUCGUGGGGGAUAACGCAGCGAAGCUGUGCUAAUACCGCAUAAGAUCUACGGAUGAAAGCGAGGGGAUCGCAAGUACCUUGCGACGAAUGGAGCGGCCGAUGGCAGAUUAGGUAGUUGGAGAGGUAAGGCUCACCAAGCCUUCGAUCGUGUAGCUGGUCUGAGAGGACGACCAGCCAC
rnacentral:rRNA from 1 species